CAAAGGAAGUUGACGGGGCCCGCACAAGCGGUGGAGCAUGUGGUUUAAUUCGAUGCAACGCGAAGAACCUUACCUGGUCUUGACAUCCCGGAGACCCUUAGGAAACUAGGGGGUGCUUCCAUCUGGAAGAAUCUGGAGACAGGUGCUGCAUGGCUGUCGUCAGCUCGUGUCGUGAGAUGUUGGGUUAAGUCCCGCAACGAGCGCAACCCUUGCCUUUAGUUGCCAGCAGUUCGGCUGGGCACUCUAAAGGGACUGCCGGUGUUAAACCGGAGGAAGGUGGGGAUGACGUCAAGUCCUCAUGGCCUUUAUGACCAGGGCUACACACGUACUACAAUGGCCGAUACAAAGGGCAGCGACACUGCGAGGUGAAGCCAAUCCCGUAAAAUCGGUCUCAGUCCGGAUUGGAGUCUGCAACUCGACUCCAUGAAGUUGGAAUCGCUAGUAAUCGUGGAUCAGCAUGCCACGGUGAAUACGUUCCCGGGCCUU
rnacentral:rRNA from 1 species